rnacentral:rRNA from 1 species
CCUACGGGAGGCAGCAGUGGGGGAUAUUGGACAAUGGGGGGAACCCUGAUCCAGCGACGCCGCGUGAGUGAAGAAGUACUUCGGUAUGUAAAGCUCUGUCAGCCGGGAAGAAAAAAAUGACGGUACCCGACUAUGAAGCCACGGCUAACUACGUGCCAGCAGCCGCGGUAAUACGUAGGGGGCAAGCGUUAUCCGGAAUGACUGGGGGUAAAGGGUGCGUAGGUGGUUUAGUAAGUCGGCAGUGAAAUGCCGGGGCCCAACCCCGGGGCUGCUCUGGAAACUAUUGAACUAGAGUGCAGGAGAGGUAAGCGGAAUUCCUAGUGUAGCGGUGAAAUGCGUAGAUAUUAGGAGGAACACCAGUGGCGAAGGCGGCAUACUGGACUGUAACUGACGUUGAGGCACGAAAGCGUGGGGAGCAAACAGGAUUAGAUACCCGAGUAGUC